CACCGGCGGCCCGAGUGGUGGCCACUAUUAUUGGGUCUAAAGGGUCCGUAGCCGGUUUGGUCAGUCUUCCGGGAAAUCUGACGGCUUAACCGUUAGGCUUUCGGGGGAUACUACCAGGCUUGGGACCGGGAGAGGUAAGAGGUACUACGGGGGUAGGAGUGAAAUCUUGUAAUCCUCGUGGGACCACCAGUGGCGAAGGCGUCUUACCAGAACGGGUCCGACGGUGAGGGACGAAAGCUGGGGGCACGAACCGGAUUAGAUACCCGCGUAGUCC
rnacentral:rRNA from 1 species